rnacentral:rRNA from 1 species
GCACAAGCGGUGGAUGAUGUGAUUAAUUCGAUGCAACGCGAAAACCUUACCUACCCUUGACAUGUCCGGAAUCCCGAAGAGAUUUGGGAGUGCUCGCAAGAGAACCGGAACACAGGUGCUGCAUGGCUGUCGUCAGCUCGUGUCGUGAGAUGUUAGGUUAAGUCCCGCAACGAGCGCAACCCUUGUCAUUAGUUGCCAUCAUUUGGUUGGGCACUCUAAUGAGACUGCCGGUGACAAACCGGAGGAAGGUGGGGAUGACGUCAAGUCCUCAUGGCCCUUAUGGGUAGGGCUUCACACGUCAUACAAUGGUCGGUACAGAGGGUUGCCAACCCGCGAGGGGGAGCUAAUCCCACAAAGCCGAUCGUAGUCCGGAUCGCAGUCUGCAACUCGACUGCGUGAAGUCGGAAUCGCUAGUAAUCGUGGAUCAGCAUGUCACGGUGAAUACGUUCCCGGGUCUU